rnacentral:lncRNA from 1 species
AAAAGAAAUCUCUCUAUAAAAUGAAUAAAAUGUUUAAGAAAAGAGAAAGAGAAAAGGAAUUAAUUCAGUGAAGGAUGAUUUUGCUCCUAGUUUUGGAGUUUGAAUUUCUGCCAGGAUUGAAUUAUUUUGAAAUCUGUCUUUUUAAACUUUUUCAAAAUAGGUCUCUAAGGAAAACCAGCAGAACAUUAGCCUGUGCAGAACCAUCUGUCUGGGGAGCACAC